rfam:Triticum urartu cultivar G1812 contig646289, whole genome shotgun sequence.
GCUCGGAAGAGUAAGAAUGAAGGGCCUUAGAGUAGUGGGAAUGGGAACGUGAAGGAAAGCCUAACUUCCUCGGUUUGACCUCUCGUGUUGGAAGUGAUAAUUUCGUUUGGUGUUCCCGAUGCCUCCCAUUCCUAUUGUUCUAAAGCACUCCUUCCUCUUCACUUUUUGG